rfam:Hordeum vulgare subsp. vulgare, WGS project CAJW01000000 data, contig: morex_contig_136296
CUUAUACUUCUUCCGUCCGAAAACUUGUCCUAAAAAUGAAUAUAAUGAAUGUAUCUACAACUAAAAUAAGUCUAGAUUCAUUCAUUUCUAAGACAAUUAUUUUUGGACGGAGGGAGUAUGCU